rnacentral:lncRNA from 1 species
AAAUGCAGAAGCAGUAAUUGGGCGUCAUGGGGGAGGCACAGAGGAGGAGAGGGAAGUCUGGGUAGUGUGCAAUGUGCAAGGAAUGCAGCAUUUAGUGUGCAAUGGGGGCAGCUUCAGGACAGAGUCAGUGGGAAGGAUUGCAAGGGGCUGUCCCCCUUCUCUUGUUUACCUCCUUUGGAUUAUUGGACUCCCAGAAGUAAGAUGAUCUUGUGUCCUGUGUCCUUCCUCCCCUUUUGUUGCCCUCUGAC